AUGGCAGCGUCGCACUGCCAUCUCCUCCUAGCGGCAUCACACCGCAACCACCUGUUCGCGCGGCAUCACACCGGCGAAGACCUCCUUGUCGUGGACGACGCCGUCGCAGCGCCGGACACCACCAUGCACCAUCUUGUCGUGGUCGACGCCGUCGCAGCGCCGGACACCACCAUGCACCAUCUUGUCGUGGUCGACGCCGUCACAGCGCCCAUCACCACACCAUCAUCAUCUUGCGGCAUCGCACCGCAACCGGCCACCAGCGGCAUCGCGCCGCCAAUGGCCUUCAUCUCGCACGGACGUCCUCCACGUCACAUGGAGUCCACCGCGUCACCGCCGUCGCAGCCGUUGCCUCCGCCCAGCACCACGGCGGCCACCAUAGCCGCCGGCACCGUCGUCGCCGCCACGGAUCAACAAGGCUCUGAUGCCAAUUGUUGGCGCCGCUCCUCUCGCAGCGCCGCUUCUUCUUCUACCUCGAGCUCCCUCACAAAACUCUCUUGUGGUUUCUCUCUAUCUUUUUCUCUCAAGAACACAAGAACACACACAUACACAUGA
rnacentral:rRNA from 1 species